rnacentral:tRNA from 1 species
GCUUCCGUAGCUCAGUUGGUUAGAGCUUCGUACUAAUAACAGGACCAGCCCAGUGGUUACUUGAUGUUGGUGAUGCGGAGGCCGCAGGUUCAAGCCCUGCCGGGAGCA